rnacentral:rRNA from 1 species
GGUUAAGCGACUAAGCGUACACGGUGGAUGCCCUGGCAGUCAGAGGCGAUGAAGGACGUGCUAAUCUGCGAAAAGCGCCGGCGAGGUGAUAUGAACCUUUGACCCGGCGAUGUCCGAAUGGGGAAACCCAGUGUGAUUCGUCACACUAUCGUUAACUGAAUACAUAGGUUAACGAGGCGAACCGGGGGAACUGAAACAUCUAAGUACCCCGAGGAAAAGAAAUCAACCGAGAUUCCCCCAGUAGCGGCGAGCGAACGGGGAGCAGCCCAGAGUCUGAAUCAGCUUGUGUGUUAGUGGAACGGUCUGGAAAGUCCGGCGAUACAGGGUGACAGCCCCGUACACGAAAGCACACAGGCUGUGAACUCGAAGAGUAGGGCGGGACACGUGGUAUCCUGUCUGAAUAUGGGGGGACCAUCCUCCAAGGCUAAAUACUCCUGACUGACCGAUAGUGAACCAGUACCGUGAGGGAAAGGCGAAAAGAACCCCGGCGAGG